GAAGCCCCCCUCAAGAUGAGACUUCCCAUUCUUCGGAAGUAAGAUCCCUGAGAGACGAUCAGGUAGAUAGGUUAGAGGUGGAAGCAUGGCGACAUGUGGAGCUGACUAAUACUAAUCGAUCGAGGACUUAACCUAAG
rnacentral:rRNA from 1 species